ACUUACUUACCACGGUUCAUCCGUGAGGCCCUUGGCUUGCAACUGUAAAUAAAUCGUUGUGCUUAAAGCGGGCUAUGAUACUCUGCCAGAGCGAUUUAGCAUGGGACUGCAGAGUAGCUGUAUUUGAGCGAAGGUUGCACCUCGGUGUGGCUGGAGCUUGGUACAGCGCUUGUAAUGGAGCUCAGGGUGAGGCCCCGGGUACCAUGAGGCUAGAGGUGAAAUUCUGAGACCCUCAUGUGACCAACUAAGGCGAAAGCUGUCGUGGGCCACCACAAGCUCGUCUAUCAGGGACGAAAGUUGGGGGAUCGAAGACGAUUAGAUACCGUCGUAGUCCCAACUAUAAACGAUACCAACCGAGUAUUUGGGAAGACACUAUCCCAGCGAUCUUCUCAGAACUCAAGGGAAACCUUAAGUCUUUGGGUUCUGGGGGGAGUAUAGUCGCAAGACCGAAACUUAAAGGAAUUGACGGAAAGGCACCACCA
rnacentral:rRNA from 1 species